CCCAUCAAAAACCGCGUGAGCCGCGGCUGAUAAAUCGUUGGAAAUGCGACGGUAAAGAUAACGCCGUUUUACCGUGACUGCUGCACUUUCGAUUUCAGUGUUUUCGCUAACAUUGGUUUUUUACGGUCGAUUCCACAAUACGUUUCGCAGCUAUCUCCAAACACGGACAAUUACGAUUCAUGCCUAAGGCCGAUCCAUGUAAAAAGCUAGCUUGCACUAUCCAAAAAUGUUUGUCAGAGAAUGAUUUUCAAGAGUCUCGUUGUAUCAAACAAAUAGAUAAUUUACGUGAAUGUUGUAGAAAAUUUCAUGAAUUUUCACUUGUAUGUUCUGGUAUGAAGCCUAAAUCUACUAAAGAAAAUCAAAAUAAGACGAUAUCCUAGAACAUUUGUUGCUGUUGGAAGUACAUUUGGCUUUUUAGUAUUGUUUAGUAAAGCAAUUUAUGAUAUUUUUGCACCAAAUAGUCCUGAAGAUAAACAAAAAAAAUUAUAUCUCGAAAAAAUAAAACAAUUAAAACUUCAACAAGAUAUCGAAUCACGAAAGUUUAAUACAUUAAAGAACCAUGGAAGCAGUGAAUAAAGCAAAAUCACGUUUUAAAAGAUAUCCUGAGCUUUUGUUUGCUUGUCAUUCGGAAGGCUUGGAAUAUGCCUCAUGUGUAAUACAACACGAAAGAGAUUUAAAAGCUGAUUCUUGUAAGACUCAAUUCAUGAAGUUUCGCAAGUGUCUGGCUUCUAAAGCGCUAAAGUGUAGUACUAAAAUUUAGGAGUAUACAAAAUUUAGUAGCUGUUAUUAGUGACAAUAAUAUG
rnacentral:misc_RNA from 1 species